rnacentral:rRNA from 1 species
GGCGAUCAGAUACCGCCCUAGUUCUGACCGUAAACGAUGCCAACUAGCGAUCGGACGGUGGAUUCUUAGCCCUGGUCGGUAGCUUCCCGGAAACGAAAGUCUUCCGGUUCCGGGGGAAGUAUGGUUGCAAAGCUGAAACUUAAAGGAAUUGACGGAAGGGCACCACCAGGAGUGGAGCCUGCGGCUUAAUUUGACUCAACACGGGGAAACUCACCCGGCCCGGACACCGUAAGGAUUGACAGAUUGAUAGCUCUUUCAUGAUUCGGUGGUUGGUGGUGCAUGGCCGUUCUUAGUUCGUGGAUCGAUUUGUCUGGUUUAUUCCGAUAACGAGCGAGACUCUAGCCUACUAAAUAGUGGCCGGAUUACUAAAGUCCGGUCCGCUUCUUAGAGGGAUUUUCGGUGUUUAGCCGCACGAGAUUGAGCAAUAACAGGUCUGUGAUGCCCUUAGAUGUCCGGGGCUGCACGCGCGCUACACUGGCGAAAUCAGCGUGCUUUAUCCAUUCUCGAAAGGGAUUGGUAAACCCAUGAAAAUUUGCCGUGCUUGGGAUCGGAAAUUGCAAUUAUUUUCCGUGAACGAGGAAUUCCAAGUAAGUGCGAGUCAUCAACUCGCUCUGAUUACGUCCCUGCCCUUUGUA